GUAACAGGGUAGCAAUAUCGCUGACGACCGGCGCACGGGUGAGUAACGCGUAUGCAACCUUCCUUUAACUGGGGAAUAGCCCGGGGAAAUUCGGAUUAAUACCCCAUAAUAUCAUUGAAAGGCACCUUUUGAUGAUUAAAGCUCUGGCGGUUAAAGAUGGGCAUGCGUGCCAUUAGCUAGUUGGUGAGGUAACGGCUCACCAAGGCUACGAUGGUUAGGGGGUCUGAGAGGAUGAUCCCCCACACUGGUACUGAGACACGGACCAGACUCCUACGGGAGGCAGCAGUGAGGAAUAUUGGGCAAUGGGCGCAAGCCUGACCCAGCCAUGCCGCGUGAAGGAUGAAUGCCCUACGGGUUGUAAACUUCUUUUUGUACGGGACAAAACUCUUGGUCGUGACCGAGAUUGAUGGUACCGUUCGAAUAAGCAUCGGCUAACUCCGUGCCAGCAGCCGCGGUAAUACGGAGGAUGCAAGCGUUAUCCGGAUUUAUUGGGUUUAAAGGGUGCGUAGGCGGAAUAAUAAGUCAGCGGUGAAAGCCUGUGGCUCGACCAUAGAAUUGCCAUUGAUACUGUUAUUCUUGAGUAUAGUUGAAGUAGGCGGAAUGUGUAAUGUAGCGGUGAAAUGCUUAGAUAUUACACAGAACACCAAUUGCGAAGGCAGCUUACUAAGCUGUUACUGACGCUGAGGCACGAAAGCGUGGGGAGCAAACAGGAUUAGAUACCCUGGUAGUCCACGCCGUAAACGAUGAUCACUCGUUGUUGGCGAUAAACUGUCAGCGACUGAGCGAAAGCAAUAAGUGAUCCACCUGGGGAGUACGGCGGCAACGCUGAAACUCAAAGGAAUUGACGGGGGCCCGCACAAGCGGAGGAACAUGUGGUUUAAUUCGAUGAUACGCGAGGAACCUUACCUGGGCUUGAAAGGGGAAUGACCUCCCGGGAAACCGGGAUUCUCUUCGGAGCAUUCUCCUGGGUGCUGCAUGGUUGUCGUCAGCUCGUGCCGUGAGGUGUCGGGUUAAGUCCCAUAACGAGCGCAACCCCUAUCGUUAGUUGCCAGCGGGUAAUGCCGGGAACUCUAACGAAACUGCCGGUGUAAACCGUGAGGAAGGUGGGGAUGACGUCAAAUCAGCACGGCCCUUAUGUCCAGGGCUACACACGUGUUACAAUGGCCGGUACAAAGGGCAGCUACUUGGUGACAAGAUGCUAAUCUCUAAAACCGGUCUCAGUUCGGAUCGAAGUCUGCAACUCGACUUCGUGAAGCUGGAUUCGCUAGUAAUCGCGCAUCAGCAACGGCGCGGUGAAUACGUUCCCGGGCCUUGUACACACCGCCCGCCAAGCCAUGGAAGCUUGGGGUACCUGAAGUCUGUAACCGCAAGGAGCGGCCUAGGGUAAAACAAGUGACUGGGGCUAAGUCGUAACAAGGUA
rnacentral:rRNA from 1 species